AUUCCUGCCCUGGUGGAGCUUACAUUAUAGAAGGGAGGUCCAGACCAUCAAUAAAUAUACAGCGAAGCUCCAAGGAAAAACAGAGCAGGGCAAAGAGAAGACAGCUAUGGGAGGUGGUUUAUUUUAUAUAAAUUAGCCAGACAGUGCCUCUGAGAGGUGAUGUCUAAGCAGGGACUCGGAGAUGAGGGAAUAAGCUAAUGGAUAUCUGAAGAAAGAACCUUCCACAUGGAUGAAGCAUCGCAUGCAAAGCUCAAGGAAGGAGCAUGUUUAGUCAAGUGCCUAAAGUGGCUGGAGCAGAGUGAGUGAGAGUUGAGAGGUAGAAGAUGAAUUCGGAGAGGGAGCAUUGGGGCCAGACUAUGUAGCCUAGUGGGCCAAGUGAGGUCAGGCCUUUAAGAAGGAGCGUAUUGAGGAAGAACCAUGCACACUACUGCUAGUGCUAGGGUGAGAAAGAUGAGGACUGAGAACUGACCUGGAUUUGGGAUCUUGGGUGAAUGAGUGACAUCCGCAAGAGUAGUCUCUGUUGACUGGUUAGGGACAGAUGUCUGAUUAACUGGGAGCACAGGAAGCUGGGGCAGUGACUCUAGGUAACACGCUCUUGAGGCAUUGGUAUAUGUAAAGGGUCACAAUGGAAAGGAAAGCUAGCAGGAGGGCAAGGGAAUUAGGGUUUUGUUUUUGUGUUUAUUUUUGGUGCUGGGAUAAACAGCGUAUGUGUCACUGGGUAGAAAUGAUCCAGUAAAGGAAAAAUUGUGAACUUUGUUCUCUCUUAAUAUGUGUGUUUCGUUGAUUCAUUCCUGACUUGUAUCUCCCACAUCUUAUCCCUUAAUUAAGCCAUUCUUCCUCUUGCAUAAUUGCAAAUUAUUAUGAUAUAAAUAGCUUUGUUGUACUCUUUUAUGAGUUUUACAGGGAGGAAAUUGCAUAAACUCUCUAUAAAGUAAUUUCUAUGUUUAAAAGCCCUUAAGUUCUCCCGCCCCAUAGCCUGACCAAAAAAGUCUUACUAAACAAAAAUAGGAUACAAAUGAUCCAUACACAUCAUCCUGGCUAGAGAAGGGUCAGAAACUACAGUGUUGUUAGAACCAAUAGAGCUUAACUUUAUAUCUCACUGGCUUUAAUAAAAAACUUUUCUGAGCUAUUUGACACAAAAAUCACUAAGAUUAAGAAAAUAUCUUAACACAGGUGGAAAUAGUAAAAGGAUGUUUGCAUGAAAACCGUCAAAUGUAAUAAACAGCACUAUUCUCUGAUAAUAAAAGAUGAAUCUGGCUGUCAGAUGCAAUUUUAUAAUAGCUUCGACCAUCAUGUACGGCAGGAGUAUUUUUUUUUAUUUACUAUCGUUAAGUUUGUGGAACCAGUGAUUGUUGUUUUACUAUUUUGUUAAGGAAACCUAAAACAUUCUUAGAAUGUACAGAAAGAAUAUGGUCAUUCUUAUAGGACCAAAGGGCGUAUCAAGUGAGCUGCUUUUGUAAAUACCAUGAAAAUCCAAGUCUGACAUGGAAUUAAAAUCAUCUCUACUACAAGAUGCAGAAAAAAACCAAACUCUUUUUUUUCUAUAUCAGAGACUUAAAAAUAUUAGUGAUGACCAAUGUGAUUAGAAGCUUUAAAAUCCUAACAUUUAUGUGAACAAAAAUCUUCCUGUUUUCAGAGACUUAAGCAUAUCAUCUGAGCAUUGAAAAAAGCUCUUAAUAGUACCUUUCAGAUUUCUCAUCUGUUUUCAGAUCCCAUAUUAAACUCCUUGUGGAAGAAUGAGAAAGAAAGCUACUCUAAAUUUUACAGAAUAGAAUUCAGGCUCUUUAUUUACAAAAUGGAGUGUGAACCUUGCUGUUUACUCAUCUACCCCCUCAAGCAAUUGUGUUUUCCUUCCUUAUCAGCACAGACCAUCACAGUUCCAGGAUUUGUCUGAGAUGCUAGCCACCUCUGAUUGCUAUUCACUGGACACUCUUGUGAUUGUGAUUUAAGAUUGUAGGCCAGGCAUGAGCCACCGCGCCCAGCCGGCAUGUAAAUUUUUAUGUGACACUUUUUUUUUGGUGGGGGGUGGCAGGGGAGAGGGUCUCACUGUUGCCCAGGCUAGAGUGCAGAGGUGCUGAUCACAGCUCACUGCAGGGCACGCACCACCAUGCCCGGCUAAGUUUUUGUAUUUUUUGUGGAGUCAGGGUCUCACUCUGUUGCCCAUGCUGGUCUGGAACUCCUGGGCUCAAGCAAUUCACCCGCCUUGGCAUCCCAAAGUGCUGGGAUUGCAGGCAUGAGCUACUCCGCCCUGGCUGUGAUACUCUUUAAUUAUUCUAAUGCUUCUAACUUACGUCAUGGUGCCAAUCCUAUUUAUAUAAUAGAAUCAAUCUCAUACUCUCAGCUGACAAUGAGGGGUAUUUCAUUUUUUACUUGUAUAUAAGAUUCCUUUUAUAUAGGAUGAAAUGCAUACACACUCUGCAUAGAAAUUCUUAUGUGUUUGUAUAUUACUCCAUUCAAUCAUACUAUGAUUCCAAGUUAAGAACUCCUAGAUAAAUUAGCGUCUGUAGCUGUAACAGUUGAGGCUUUCAAUUCAAAUGUCAGAUAACAUUCUUCUGUGUAUUGUAUUAUUUUCUGCAGUAAUUCAAAUCUUUAUUGAGUUGAGGUUUGCUCACUUACUAUAAGGUAGAAUGAGGUGAUCUAAGUAGGUUUUGUUUAAAUACAUGUGUCUUCUCCCCAUCAGAGUAAAAGAAGCCGAAGAGGUGUGUAGACAGAAGAAAGGAAAAUCACUUUAUAAAAUAAAACCAAGACAUGACUCUGGAAUUAAAGCAAAGAUAAGCAUGAAAACUUGAACAAUGAAAAGCAGAAUGAAAAUGAGUCAUUGCAACGACUUUCACAAAAUUCAGCUGACCUGAGAGUGGGAGGGAAACUACCGUCAUUCUGCUCAUGUUUCUUCUUGACCUCU
rnacentral:lncRNA from 1 species